UGCCUAUGAUUAAUAUACAUGUAUAAGAGUAGUGGACAGAAGUGAUUUCUGAGAUUUUUCAUUCUGAGGCA